GCUGGAACGAGCCACACGCAGCUGCGUGCAUAAACAGGUAUUUGGUGUGACGUCGGCAAGGUAAAGCGGCGCGCGCCGGCUUCCACUCUGAUACGGACGCGCGAGAGCUCCUACUCGACACCGUCAAAUCGAGCCCCGGGUGCUUGCAUUAGUAUGAUGCCUAUAAGAGGUAAAUGUGAAGGAUGCCGCAUUUGUGGGAGUGACCUGCAGGGUAACCAGCGGCGAUGGUUGUAUGCGGCUCAGAACCGGAAGGAGGCACAACCUCAGACGCCAACAGACUGGUCUAGCAAGGGAAGCCUGCCCAGAUCAGCACAGAGCAGCCCAUGGGGCAGUACAUUAUCUCUCAGCUCUUCUAAUUCCCUCUCCAAGUCUCUUGCUUUGCUCACCGCUACAAAAGGAAUAGAUCUGCUCUGUGUGCUGACACACAUAUUAGAGCAGCCUGUACCACGUGGGGGCGGUCAGGGGGAGUUUUUAUGUGGCAAGUGCGUGUCUGUUUUGGAGCGGGUUUUCAAGUUCGACACUGUCAUCAGUCGGGUCAGAGCUCUGUCGAGCGAGAGGCUUCAGAGACUCACACAGGAAAGAGACAAGAUUAGGCGAUGGGUGCGAAGUUUGUACUACCAACGCCAUCCUUCUAGUUCCAGGAGCAAAGGAAGCUCUAGCGAGGAUGAAGGUGACCCAGGAAGGCAAGACAGAAAGGAUCCGACAGGGGAAGCAUACAGGGAACUGCUAAGGGACAAUAUGGCUCUUUCUGAGUAUGAGUGGUGGUCAGAGAAAGCGGAUUCAUGUCCAUAUUAUAGGAGAACAGGAAAACGGUGCCAAAAAGGAAAGAAAUGUGAGGGUUGUGACUCUUUAAGAGUGUCUGAUUCGGACUAUGAGUCUGUGUGCGGCAUACCCCGUCACUUGCCUGAACAAGCCUUCACCUCAUUGGGCCUCUCUCGGGACAAGUCCCGCAGCAUGCCUCUUCAUUGGUCAAGAGUGCCAUCUGUCAGCUCAAGCCCUGCCUCACUAUCUGGUUCCUGUCACUCUUUACGAUCUCGAUCACGCACUGCCUCUGUCCAAUCAAUGGACUCGUUGGAUGGCAACGAUCCCUUUGAUUGGCCAGAGGAGCAAGCGGUCAUCUUCAAGACCCUUUUUAAAGAGUUGAGAGGAAUUGAAGGAAAGCCGGUGAGGUCACCAGCUGGAAGUCGCAUUCCUGUGUUGGGCCGAGGGGGAGUGCAGAAUGGGAAGGAUGAAGUGGAGGUGAAAGUGGGGUUAGUUAAGGUACUGCAUUUUGGAGAGGGGGAAAAUGGGUCGGAGGAUGAGUUUGAAGAGAGCGAUGAUAUCCUGGCUGAACUUCGAGAUGAGUUUCUGCCAUUGCAAAGAGAGGUGACUUCAAGUAGAGUGCACCCUGCAGUGAAGCAGUUGCGUGAACAACUUGUUCAAGCUCAGGCUUUCAUUAGAACUCUUGAGGCACAGCUCAGGGAUGUCAACAAACCAGCAACUAAUGCUGCUGUCAAUCAAUCAAAGUCAUUUCCACAAAUGACCAUUCUGAAGAAUAAAAAUGACUUGAUUGAGAGUCUCAGCCAAUCGCUACACAGCAGAGAGAGUGUAAUCCAGGAAUGUGUGACUUUGAUCCAGAAGCUGUGUGCUGAACAGGGGGUGGAGUCAGAGGAGACCGAGAAAUUAAUCAGAAAACUUACCAGUGCUGUGGGUGAUAAACACAGUGAGCGUGAGACUGUUCUGGAAGCCCAGCUGUCAGAGGUGAGGGAGAGAGAGAAAGCUCUGGAAAACCAGCUGCAGUCUCUCAGGGACGCUUGCAAAGAGAGAGACCGAGACUUCAUCACACUUAACACUGUGCUCCAGUGUAACCAGGAUGUUAUUAAUCACCUGCGUGUAGAGCUUGUAGAGCGAGAUCGAGCUCAGCAGGAGAUGAUGAAAGAGUGGGAGGUUUGCAAAGGGCUAGAUUCAGCCCUGACUGCACUGGUGAAUGACAACGAAGCAUUUAUUUCCCAGCUAAAGGAGGCGCUAGAGAGUUCACGUCGAGAUGUGCAGGCGCUCUCGGACUCUCUGAUUGGUCGGGGAUUAGAAGGGGGCGGAGCUGAGGCUGGAUUGGUCAAUCAGUUGCGAGAGAAAGAAUCACUGUUGGCAGCAAGCGUCAAAGAUAGAGAGAAGCUUAGCGCCACCAUGAGGAAGGAGAUUUCAAGACUCUCCAUAGCCUUAAAAGACGCUGAAACUCACGUACAGAACCAAAGAGAAAAUCACAAACAAGCCAUCAAUGAAGUUUCACAGCAACUCAAAAAUGCACUUGAGGAACUGAGAGAGAAAACAAAAGAGAAGAAGGAAGCUGAACUAGGAUUGAAAAAGGAAAAUAAGGAGAGAGCUUUCGAGGAAGGAAAACUGAGAGACAAUCUUCAAAAAAGGGACAAACUUAUAGAGUAGGUGGCGAUAUGCACAAAGAAUGCAAAUUGCAAAAAAACAAAAGAAGAAUGUGGAAGUGAAACAAGAAGUGGACAUUUAUUGUAAAAAAAGGACUCUAAUAUUGAUCUCACCCACACUUCUAUUAUCACUUCUGAAGAUAUGGAUUAGACCACUGGAGUAAUAUGGAUUACUUUUAUAAUGCCUUUAUGUGCUGUAUGAUCUUCAAAGUAUUGGACCCUGUUGACUUGCAUUGUAUGGACCUACAGAGCUGAGAAAUUGUUCUAAAAAUCUUAGUUUGUGUUCUGCAGAAGAAAGAAAGUCUUAAACAUCAUGGAUGGCAUGAGGCAAGUACUUCUGGAUUUAGAAGAGCGUGAUGGUGUGCUAACAGAGCUACAGCAAAACAUCUCCACCAGGCUUGAACCCAAGACAGCCCUCAAACACACACUGUGAGUGUACACAGGACACAGAUAAUAGGGAAUGAUCCUGUGAAUACACUGAAUUUGUUGAUUGACUGUUUAUCUUUGAUUUGUGUAAUUUAUUGAUAAAGGCACUACCUUCAGUUGUCUUUGUGUUUCCUGCUCUAAUUUCUACAGAGAUGCGAAUUUCUGCACUUAAUAUCUCUAUGUACAGCUUUUGUUUUUAGCUUUUGAUAAAAUGUAUAGCUUUUUUGAAAUUCUGUCAUUUCAUGGGAAAUUAAGACAGGCCCAUGGGAUUCUGUGCUCUGAGGUUUUUGAUUUGGCUCUGUACAGUAUAACCUUAUGAAAUGUCAUACUAUUAGUGUCAUAUAUUCGUUUUCUCUCAGUAGACUGCUCAACUGGACUGGAGGGAUUGCUGGUAUAUUAUGAAAUGUUAUUUUAGUUCGUGAAUUUAUGACUGCCAUUUACAGGUUGCUCCAGUAAUGUAGUUUGAAUGCAGCCAUAAACAGUUCUGAUUGCUUCCCACAGGUUUUCAGAUUGUGGUUCCAAGAUUUACAUAGUUACACACCUGUGCCUUUUCUACACCAAUAAAUGCUUUUCUGUAGCCCACAUUCCUAACUGCCUCAAAUGAAUUACUAUUUAAAUUAUUAUAUUUAUGUUUUAUUGAUUUUGUCUGCUGAAAAUGUUCUUUGCUCCUUUUCUGUUAUUGCUUAAUUUGUCUCUUCCAUUAUUUUCCAUGUGAAAACAUUUAUAAAUGUUUUAUGUUGAUGUUUGUCUCAGAGAUGCAUUCCAAGUCGCAAUAUGGAUGUACUGUCUUUUAUAGUGAAGGGGAAUCCUUUUCUCAUAAAUGAUGGAUUUACUGAAGCUGAAAAUGAUAUGAUUAUUCUGUGUUUUUAAUCUGCUUGUUUAUCAUUUUAUUUGGGUAUGCUGGAUUUGUUCACAGCCUGAUAAAUGCCUCAUUUCUUUUAAGGAAAUAAACAAAUUAAAAUGAGGCAUCAGGUUUGUGUGGGUUUUGGUUCUUAAAGUUUCUUUUAUUUCUGAGAUAUUAAACUGUUCUUUCUUAAGAACUCAUGGGUGUAUUUGACAAUAAAAACCUCAGAUGG